AUCGUACUCCCUCCGUCUCAAAAUUAUUGUCAUAGGUUUGUUUAGAAAUCGAUGUAUAUAAAUACUAAAACGUGACUAGAUACAUUCAUAUCUAAACAAAUCUACGACAAGAAUUUUGGAACCGAGGGAGUAUCAA
rfam:Hordeum vulgare subsp. vulgare, WGS project CAJW01000000 data, contig: morex_contig_161107